rnacentral:rRNA from 1 species
CCUACGGGAGGCAGCAGUGGGGAAUAUUGCGCAAUGGGCGAAAGCCUGACGCAGCGACGCCGCGUGAGUGAAGAAGGCCUUCGGGUCGUAAAGCUUAGUCCCUUGGAGCGAAGUUUCACUUCCGAACAGGGGGUGCAAUUGACGGUACCAAGAGGAAGCGCCGGCCAACUCUGUGCCAGCAGCCGCGGUAAGACAGAGGGCGCAAGCGUUGCUCGGAAUUACUGGGCGUAAAGCGUGUGUAGGCGGUCUGGUAAGUUACAUGUGAAAUGUUUCCGCUCAACGGAGAAAUGGCAUGUAAUACUAGCAGGCUAGAGUGUGGGAGAGGAGGGUGGAAUUCCCGGUGUAGAGGUGAAAUUCGUAGAUAUCGGGAGGAAUACCAGUGGCGAAGGCGGCCCUCUGGAACAUAACUGACGCUCAAACACGAAAGCACAGGGAGCAAACAGGAUUAGAUACCCUAGUAGU